rnacentral:rRNA from 1 species
CAGCAGCCACGGUAAUACAGAGGGUGCGAGCGUUAAUCGGAUUUACUGGGCGUAAAGCGUGCGUAGGCGGCUUUUUAAGUCGGAUGUGAAAUCCCUGAGCUUAACUUAGGAAUUGCAUUCGAUACUGGGAAGCUAGAGUAUGGGAGAGGAUGGUAGAAUUCCAGGUGUAGCGGUGAAAUGCGUAGAGAUCUGGAGGAAUACCGAUGGCGAAGGCAGCCAUCUGGCCUAAUACUGACGCUGAGUUACGAAAGCGUGGGGAGCAAACAGGAUUAGAUACCCCAGUAGUCCCUGUCUCUUAUAC